AGCUAUCAGACAGCACCGGGCUUGCUGCUUCUCUAUGAGCAGGCCCCGUCCUGUUUCAGGGGAUGGACUAAAUGACCUCCUGACGACCUUUCACUCUGUUACGGCACUCGGUGAAGAGGGCAGAAUCUGACUCACCUACCAAUCAAGCAAGGUUGGUUGACAGCGGGGCUGGCAGAAGGGGGUUGAGGGGAGAGAAAACAGCAGCUUCAGCCACUUCAGCCACUCCCUCCCCAUUAAAGACCCCAUCUCUGGAAA